CCUACGGGGGGCAGCAGUAAGGAAUAUUGGUCAAUGGGCGGAAGCCUGAACCAGCCAUGCCGCGUGCAGGAAGACGGCCUACGGGUUGUAAACUGCUUUUAUACGGGAAUAUGUACUGUAAGAAUAAGGAUCGGCUAACUCCGUGCCAGCAGCCGCGGUAAUACGGAGGAUCCGAGCGUUAUCCGGAUUUAUUGGGUUUAAAGGGUGCGUAGGUGGCUUUUUAAGUCAGGGGUGAAAGACGGUAGCUUAACUAUCGCAGUGCCUUUGAUACUGAAGAGCUUGAAUGAACUAGAGGUAGGCGGAAUGUGACAAGUAGCGGUGAAAUGCAUAGAUAUGUCACAGAACACCAAUUGCGAAGGCAGCUUACUAUGUUUAUUGACACUGAGGCACGAAAGCGUGGGGAUCAAACAGGAUUAGAUACCCUUGUAGUC
rnacentral:rRNA from 1 species